ACGAACGCUGGCGGCGUGCUUAACACAUGCAAGUCGAACGGAAAGGCCCUGCUUUUGUGGGGUGCUCGAGUGGCGAACGGGUGAGUAACACGUGAGUAACCUGCCCUUGACUUUGGGAUAACUUCAGGAAACUGGGGCUAAUACCGGAUAGGAGCUCCUGCUGCAUGGUGGGGGUUGGAAAGUUUCGGCGGUUGGAGAUGGACUCGCGGCUUAUCAGCUUGUUGGUGGGGUAGUGGCUUACCAAGGCUUUGACGGGUAGCCGGCCUGAGAGGGUGACCGGCCACAUUGGGACUGAGAUACGGCCCAGACUCCUACGGGAGGCAGCAGUGGGGAAUAUUGCACAAUGGGCGGAAGCCUGAUGCAGCAACGCCGCGUGCGGGAUGACGGCCUUCGGGUUGUAAACCGCUUUCGCCUGUGACGAAGCGUGAGUGACGGUAAUGGGUAAAGAAGCACCGGCUAACUACGU
rnacentral:rRNA from 1 species